GGCUCUGCAAUAAAGGGGCAGCCAGAAGCUGGGCGUUUGCUUGGCUGCUGCUGGUAGGCGCAAGGAAAAGCACUACAGAAAGAGGGAAGAAACAAGGCUAUCUGAACCAUUUGCACAACAUAGAGGCUCUCCAGCCCUCGUCUGGAAAAGGCUGGAGUGUCACAGCAUCCCAUUGGCAGUCCCUGGGCUCUGGCAGGUUAACUUAUCCAGAGUCUCUCGAAUGCAGAGUUAGAGGUUGUUCCUGGAACUCCUCAGCUCACAUAAACCCAUGGAGCUCAUCCA